GAGCCAACUCUCCAGCUGUACAAACAGCUUUUAACUCCAGCUGGAGUACAAAUACAGAGAUAGGAGGUCUCUGGAUGUUGGUGGGCACACAAACAGGACAGGCACUACCUGCAUGGCACGUAAUGAUAAACAAUUUAUUCCUAACAAUAAAGAGUGCCACAGUAUGAAUUUAUCGAGGUAAACUGGGACCACAUGAGCACAUAAGUAUUUUGAAAUAAUUGCAGGAAAAUGGUGCCCAAGAGCUUACAAACAUACCAGAUUACAGGAAGGGUGCAAGUCUCUCAUCUAGACCCCAUGAAGAGGAGGACAUCUCUGUGAAAGUAACGCCACUGGUGUACACAUCAAGAGUCUGGCAGUCCUGAUUGUCCCAGGGCCUUCAGCCCAGCGUAGACCCCGCUGUUGACACUGCCUAGUCAAAUUACCACCUACCCAUGCACCCGCUCUUCCAUCUGGACCUACUGUGUGUUCAAUUGCCCACUCAUCUAUCUGUAGUCUUCUUAGUCCUGCACACGUUUCUGUUGCUUGACUCAACCUGGGGAGUAAAAUACUGUAUUUGUAGAUUUAAAAGGAAAAAACAACCUUAAUACUGCUGCUACAUCAACAUUUCCUGAUUUCAGCUUCAGAUUUGGGAAUAUUUCAGAUCUGAGACUUUCAGAUGAGGGAUGCUCGCCCACUGAUAGCUCUGGUAACAUUCCAAAUUUAAAGAAAAUCCUGAAGCCCUCCUAGUCUGAGCAUUUCAGAAAGGGACACUUAGUCUGCGCCUCAGGCCAAACAGUUUACACAACAGGAGUUGGUUUUCCCACAGAUUUAGAGGGUUGAGGAUCACGAUCUAGGUAUUAGCAGGGUUAGUUUCUGCUGAGGCUCUUAGUUUCCCAGUGGCCAGCUGCCUUCUUGUUGUGUCUUUGCACAGCCUUCCCUAUGUGUUACCUGCAUCUUACUUUCCUUUUCUUAGAAGGACACCAGUUAGGUUUGAUCAGAACCUACCCCAAUGACUUAUUUAAAAUUUAUUAUCUCUUUGAAGACCUUUUCUCCAAUACAGUGACAUUCCGAGGUAUUUAGUUAGGACUUCAAGAUACAGAUCUGGGGAGUACUGUGCAGCCCAUGACAUUUUCUGAAUUGAACUACAAAUUGAGAACUACUUCCAUCAAAUCCAAGAUACCUAAAGUCAAUUUCCAGCUUAGAAAAGAAAUAGAGAUUUAUUGUGCUUCCUGAAGAUAUCAAAGACCAGAACUGGUAAUGAAGUUCGAUUUACAUACAGCUCUUUGCAAAUCAUCACCAGCCAAGAAGACAGAGACCAGAGGCCAGAAGAGGGUAUAGGAUCCCCUGGAGCUGGAGUUACAGGUGACUGUGAACCACCUAGUGUUGGUGCUGGAAUCAAAAUUGUGGUCCUCUGGGAAGAGCAGCAACUCUUCUUGUCCACAUAGCCAUCUUUCUAGCCCUUCAAGGAUGUGUUUUGGCAAUUGCACAUUUCAAGUCAAAGACGGCACAUCC